rnacentral:lncRNA from 1 species
CCGCCCUCGCGUCGACAACAGCGCAGCCCAGUCAUCUCCUCCCUCUGUCGCGACCGGAAAAUCACAGUAGCAGUCAACACGAUAGCGCCGCCGCCGCCCCUGCUUCUCUCCACCGCCGCCCCUGCACACGCAGCGGCGUCGUUGCUCCGGCGAGCAAUCCCUCCCCCAAACUUCAUCAAUUUUCCUUUUGUCCAUCUAGAUUUCUAAAUCUGAGUUUCUUUCUUGUAAAAAUCAGUGAAAAUGCAUUCUAUUCCAAUUUCUUAUGAAUUACAAACACUAGAUUUAAUGAUGUGUGUAUGCAUGAUUGGAUUUGGAAACAAGAUUUCUUGGAUGCAAGAGGCGGAAUGUUUUCUUUGCUGAGAUUUUAGAAAUUGACAGAGUUUCAAAAAAUUCUUUAUGAAUUGAAAUUUGGGGAAAUAAACUUACCGUUUGGAGAAUAACAAGCUAAAUUAUUGCUGGAAACUUUGCAAAGGCAAGAGAAUAGUUUGAUUUGGCUAAAUGUUUGGAGUGAGUUGUUUGGAGAAAGCUUUGCAGAGUAAAUAUUUAUGGAGGAUUGAGGAUAAUCGCUGAAGUUCAUAAGUGAAUUGAUUUUGAAAGAUAAACAUGGAAUAAAUGAUAAAAAUUAAUGAAGAGAUAAAAAUGAAUGGGUUGUGGCUGCAAAUAUUUCGUGGAAGCUAAGAAAGUAUAAUAUCCACAUCUUUGAUUAAAAGAAAAAGAAAUAGUGAUUAGUGUUCUUUAAAUGUGGUAGCUAUUUUAGGACCAUUACAAAGAAUUUGGCCCAAUAUUAAUGAAAUCAAAAGAAAAAU